rnacentral:lncRNA from 1 species
AAUUUCACAACAAAAAAGAAAGAAGGAAUCGGGUGGGGAAAGAAAACUAAGGGGUUUUUCCAGUUUGGUUUCAUGCAAGUCUUGAUCCUCACAGGUACUAGGUUUCUCAAUUUUUAAGUUUGGAUUUUAUGAGUUGUGCUUACGUAAUCUUGGUUUUGUCAAGGGAAAUUUGUUUCUUACCGCAGAAAGUUCUUCAUUUUUAUGAUAGCAACACUAAAUCAAAUGGCAAUACGAACUUUCAUCGAAUCCUUUUAGUUGAGAACCCAAUAAU